rnacentral:rRNA from 1 species
GAUGAACGCUGGCGGCGUGCCUAAUACAUGCAAGUCGAGCGAACGGACGAGAAUCUUGCUUCUCUGAUGUUAGCGGCGGACGGGUGAGUAACACGUGUAUAACCUACCUAUAAGACUGAGAUAACUUCGGGAAACCGGAUCUAAUACCGGAUAAUAUUUUGAACCGCAUGGUUCAAAAGUGAAAGACGGUCUUGCUGUCACUUAUAGAUGGAUCCGCGCUGCAUUAGCUAGUUGGUAAGGUAACGGCUUACCAAGGCAACGAUGCAUAGCCGACCUGAGAGGGUGAUCGGCCACACUGGAACUGAGACACGGUCCAGACUCCUACGGGAGGCAGCAGUAGGGAAUCUUCCGCAAUGGGCGAAAGCCUGACGGAGCCACGCCGCGUGAGUGAUGAAGGUCUUCGGAUCGUAAAACUCUGUUAUUAGGGAAGAACAGAUGUGUAAGUAACUGUGCACAUCUUGACGGUACCUAAUCAGAAAGCCCCGGCUAACUACGUG